GAGAAUAUAGCUCAGUUGGUAGAGCAUCUGCCUUUUAAGCAGAGGGUCGAAGGUUCGAGCCCUUCUAUUCUCA
rnacentral:tRNA from 6 species